AGCCUUCUGUAUCCAUGCUGGGAUUUCGUCACACACCAGUCCACAAGGGUGGAUGAGACUUCCAAUAUAAGUGAAGCG
rnacentral:pre_miRNA from 1 species